GGGCGGCUAGCUCAGUUGGUUAGAGCGCUGCUUUCACACGGCAGAGGUCACAGGUUCGAAUCCCGUGCCGCCCA
rnacentral:tRNA from 1 species